GCUCCGCGAGAGGUUAGAGGGGAAAGGCCGCCAUCUGGGGAGCUUCCCUCCCAGACAUGGCAUCCACCAGCAUCUGCAUCUUGGACUUCCCAGUCUCUGGAACUAUCCAAGAAAGGCUGUCGUGAUCAGGAUAAAUAAGUGUGUGGCUGAACUACUGAGAUUUUAUAUUCUUGCCUCAAAGAUACUGAUCGAAAUACAUCAAUGGGUAGAUAAUACAGAUAAGAGAUCGUCAACAUUCUAGAAAAAAGGAUUAUCUCAAGGAUGAAGGGUAAACCGAACUUCUACUGCUUAUAAAAUUUAAGGAAAACAGUGAAAUUAAAGGUACUUUUUGGUUUUAAACUAACUUUGCUGUCUUUUCCAUGUCAAGUUUGGCCACACCUAUCAUUUAGCAAGUAACAAUCUAUCAUAACUGCAACAACCUUCACUGCGAUUUCAGAGCAAAGAAUCUCAAAGGAAUCUACCUGACCUGUCUGACAGGAUCUUAACAGGAUUAAUCUUGUAUCUUUCUAACUAGAACUUACAACCAUUGCUGGCAUUCCCAUCUAGACCUACCUAAACUGUGGAAUUGCUACCAUUUGAUGUCAUCAAUCUGCUCAUGUAGUCGGACAAAGGACUUUUUGGACAAAUAGUGAGAUAAAUUAAUGUACUAACCAAGAUGUUCAAACCUCCAAUGUUAAGAAUAAAUUUUGGCUCUC